rnacentral:rRNA from 1 species
UAUAGAGGGUGCAAGCGUUGUUCGGAAUUACUGGGCGUAAAGCGCACGUAGGCGGCUUUCUAAGUCGGGGGUGAAAUCCCGAGGCUCAACCUCGGGUCUGCAGUCGAUACGAGCAAACUAGAGUGUUGCAGGGGAGACUGGAAUUCCUGGUGUAGCGGUGAAAUGCGCAGAUAUCAGGAGGAACACCGGUGGCGAAGGCGGGUCUCUGGGCAACAACCGACGCUGAGGAGCGAAAGCGUGGGGAGCGAACAGG